rnacentral:rRNA from 1 species
GCUCAAUGAUUUUUUAAAUUGCUGUGGUAUUUUGACUAUACGAAGGUAUUGAAAUAAGGCUUUAAAUGAGUGCUAAGAGAAUGGUUGAACAAUUAUAGGCUUUCUUUAAUUAAUAAAUUGAAGUUAAUGUUUUUUGUGAAGAAGCAGGAAUAAAGAUUAGGGACAAGAAGACCCUAUGAAUUUUAUAUUUUAAAAAUAAUAAUUUUUAUUUUUAAAAUUUAAUUGGGGCGAUGAGAAAAGAAUAAUUAUCUUUUUUUUUGAGUUAAUUUGACCCAUUAAUAGUGAUUAGAUGAUUAAAAUACUCUAGGGAUAACAGCGUAAUAAUUUCGGAUAGUUCAUAUAGAUGAAAUAGUUUGCGACCUCGAUGUUGGAUUAGGAUACUUUUUUGGUGGAGAAAUUAAAAUAAAGAAGUUUGUUCAACUUUUGAAAUCCUACUUGAUCUGAGUUUCAGACCGG